CGGUGGAGUAUGUGGUUUAAUUCGAUGCAACGCGAAGAACCUUACCUGGGUUGGAAACCCCUGGAAUCCUGCAGAGAUGUGGGAGUGCUCUUUUAGAGAAUCAGGUGUCCAGGUGCUGCAUGGUUGUCGUCAGCUCGUGUCGUGAGAUGUUGGGUUAAGUCCCGCAACGAGCGCAACCCCUGUUGUUAGUUGCCAGCGAUUCGGUCGGGCACUCUAACGAGACUGCCGGUGGUAAGCCGGAGGAAGGUGGGGAUGACGUCAAGUCCUCAUGGCCUUUAUGACCAGGGCUACACACGUACUACAAUGGCAGGUACAAAGGGCAGCCACUUAGCGAUAAGGAGCGAAUCCCGUAAAACCUGUCUCAGUCCGGAUUGGAGUCUGCAACUCGACUCCAUGAAGUUGGAAUCGCUAGUAAUCGCAGAUCAGCACGCUGCGGUGAAUACGUUCCCGGGCCUU
rnacentral:rRNA from 1 species